rnacentral:ncRNA from 1 species
AGCGCCAGACCCUAAGGGUUGACGAGGCGAAGGGUUAUCGAAAAUUCGGCGGAUGCCCUUCCGUGCAAUUCCGGCGCGAGACUCAUUGGCAAAUAUGCGGGUAACUGCAAAACAAAUACAAUGAGA